CUUGACGUUAGCGACAGAAGAAGCACCGGCUAACUCCGUGCCAGCAGCCGCGGUAAUACGGAGGGUGCGAGCGUUAAUCGGAAUUACUGGGCGUAAAGCGCAUGCAGGUGGUUUGUUAAGUCAGAUGUGAAAGCCCGGGGCUCAACCUCGGAAUAGCAUUUGAAACUGGCAGACUAGAGUACUGUAGAGGGGGGUAGAAUUUCAGGUGUAGCGGUGAAAUGCGUAGAGAUCUGAAGGAAUACCGGUGGCGAAGGCGGCCCCCUGGACAGAUACUGACACUCAGAUGCGAAAGCGUGGGGAGCAAACAGGAUUAGAUACCCUGGUAGUCCACGCCGUAAACGAUGUCUACUUGGAGGUUGUGGCCUUGAGCCGUGGCUUUCGGAGCUAACGCGUUAAGUAGACCGCCUGGGGAGUACGGUCGCAAGAUUAAAACUCAAAUGAAUUGACGGGGGCCCGCACAAGCGGUGGAGCAUGUGGUUUAAUUCGAUGCAACGCGAAGAACCUUACCUACUCUUGACAUCCAGAGAACUUUCCAGAGAUGGAUUGGUGCCUUCGGGAACUCUGAGACAGGUGCUGCAUGGCUGUCGUCAGCUCGUGUUGUGAAAUGUUGGGUUAAGUCCCGCAACGAGCGCAACCCUUAUCCUUGUUUGCCAGCGAGUAAUGUCGGGAACUCCAGGGAGACUGCCGGUGAUAAACCGGAGGAAGGUGGGGACGACGUCAAGUCAUCAUGGCCCUUACGAGUAGGGCUACACACGUGCUACAAUGGCGCAUACAGAGGGCAGCAAGCUAGCGAUAGUGAGCGAAUCCCAAAAAGUGCGUCGUAGUCCGGAUUGGAGUCUGCAACUCGACUCCAUGAAGUCGGAAUCGCUAGUAAUCGUGGAUCAGAAUGCCACGGUGAAUACGUUCCCGGGCCUUGUACACACCGCCCGUCACACCAUGGGAGUGGGCUGCAAAAGAAGUAGGUAGUUUAACCUUCGGGAGGACGCUUACCACUUUGUGGUUCAUGACUGGGGUGAAGUCGUAACAAGGUAGCGCUAGGGGAACCUGGCGCUG
rnacentral:rRNA from 1 species